rnacentral:lncRNA from 1 species
AUGAUGCUUCUUUGUGCGGCAGGAGGACUCGUAUGUCACCGCCCGGAGGAGCGGAGCGGAGCGAUUGGCCGGGUGAAUUAUCUGCCUUGUUGCAGUGAAUUAUUUGCGCUGUUUCCUUUCCCAGUCAACAAGUUUCUGAGCUUGACUUUGAAUUUCCUUAAGUGCCAGAGCGAGGAUACGGUGCUGGGUAAUGCAUUGCCAUGCACUAUAUUUAGAAAGCAGCUGGAAGAGAAGAUGUCCUCAGGAAUCCGGACUGUUUUGUUGUACUUGUCCCUCCCGUCCCGGCCCUGUAACGCAAACGCUCCUUCUGCAGAGGGCACACUGCAGCACGAUGAAGCCAACCCCCCUGCAGAGGAGCAGGCCCCAAGCUGCUGACGCCGGCCCGAGGUAAGGGACGUGAACAGAAGCUGAGGAGCUGGUGCAGGGUCCCCGCCACACCCCAAACACCCCUCUCGCCCCUUUGCUGCUCUGGGCCAUCGAGCUGCACCUUCUGGAUUCACACGCGGGGCGGGGACAUCCGGGGGCUGCGUGUGCCGGUGCCAGCCCGGCACUCACCGUCACCGUCCCUGUUGUGACACCAGACGUGGGGGCCCCGCUCCCUGGCGGCACCGCUGAGCCCGGCAGCGCCGGCCCCGGUGACGCCGGUCCCCUCCGAGCGACGCGCCACCGCAUCUGAGCGCCAGGCAAGCGGUUUUGUCACUUGCUUUGAGACGCGUCCUGCCUGGUCUCUCUUGUUUCAUUACCCGAAAUCCCAGAGAAACCACCCGGCAGGAUCAAUCAGUCACAGGCAGCCAGACAGUUUUCUUGUACUUUAUUAAAGUGUAAUCAAACAUCGGUUAAGUGGAAAAUAAAUAUCCAGAUCUAAUAAGCUGCUCA